rnacentral:rRNA from 1 species
GGCCGCGAAUUCGCCCUUGUGCCAAGCAGCCGCGGUAAUUCCAGCUCCAAUAGCGUAUACUAAAGUUGCUGCAGUUAAAACGUUCGUAGUUGGCAUUAUACAGUUUGUCUUCUUCAACUGGAGAAGACGACUGUAGUCUCACUGUCCAUGAAUAAAGCGUACCGAUCAAGGUAGUUAGCUGAUAGCAUGGUAACUGUGAACCUAUAAGGUAGGAGUGGUGGGAGAUUACUACAUUCGUUGGCCAGAGGUGAAAUUCUAUGACUCGGCGAAGGUAAACUGAAGCGCAAGCGGUAGUCUAUGACACAUCCGGUGAUCAAGAACGUAAGUUAGGGGAUCGAAGACGAUUAGAUAACGUCGUAGUCUUAACUGUAAACUAUGUCGACCCAGUGGUGGAGUGUUUAGGCUCUUCAUUGCUGUGAGAGAAAUCAGAGUAUCCGGAUUCUGGGGGGAGUACGGUCGCAAGGCUGAAACUUAAAGGAAUUGACGGAAGGGCACCACCAGGGGUGGAGCUUGCGGCUUAAUUUGAUUCAACACGGGAAAACUUACCAGGGCCAUACGCGGGUAUGAACGACAGGAUGAUGGACCUUUCGUGAUUCUGCGGGUGGUGGUGCAUGGCCGUUCUUAGUUGGUGGAGUGAUUUGUCUGGUUUAUUCCGAUAACGAACGAAACCCUAACCAGACUAUUGCGACCUUCGGGUUUAUUAGUCGGGACUACGUACCUAAAGUACGGGGAA